UAGGGAAUAUUAGUAAUGGGCGAAAGCCUGAACUAGCAACGCCGCGUGUGCGAAGAAGGCCUUCGGGUUGUAAAGCACUUUUUGAGAGGGUGAGGAAGGACGGUACUCUCAGAAUAAGUCUCGGCUACCUACGUGCCAGCAGCCGCGGUAACACGUAGGAGGCAAACGUUAUCCGGAUUUACUGGGCGUAAAGCGCGUGUAGGUGGUUUGGUAAGUAGGGCGUGAAAGCUCCUGGCUCAACUGGGAGAGGCCGUUCUAAACUGCCGAACUAGAGGAUGGUAGAGGGAGGUGGAAUUCCGGGUGUAGCGGUGGAAUGCGCAGAUAUCCGGAGGAACACCAGUGGCGAAAGCGGCCUCCUGGACCAUUCCUGACACUCAGACGCGAAAGCUAGGGUAGCAAACGG
rnacentral:rRNA from 1 species